rnacentral:rRNA from 1 species
AGAGUUUGAACCUGGCUCAGGAUGAACGCUGGCGGUCUGCUUAACACAUGCAAGUCGAACGGAAUUCUUCGGGAUUUAGUGGCGGACGGGUGAGUAACACGUGAGAAUCUGCACUCAGGAUGGGGACAACAGCGGGAAACUGCUGCUAAUACCCAAUGUGCCGAAAGGUGAAAGAUUUAUCGCCUGAGAAUGAGCUCGCGGCCGAUUAGUUAGUUGGUGGGGUAAAGGCCUACCAAGACGGCGAUCGGUAGCUGGUCUGAGAGGAUGAGCAGCCACACUGGGACUGAGACACGGCCCAGACUCCUACGGGAGGCAGCAGUGGGGAAUUUUCCGCAAUGGGCGCAAGCCUGACGGAGCAAGACCGCGUGGGGGAGGAAGGCUCUUGGGUUGUAAACCCCUUUUCUCAGGGAAGAACACAAUAACGGUACCUGAGGAAUCAGCCUCGGCUAACUCCGUGCCAGCAGCCGCGGUAAUACGGAGGAGGCAAGCGUUAUCCGGAAUUAUUGGGCGUAAAGCGUCCGCAGGUGGUGGGGCAAGUCGGCGGUUAAAGACUGGGGCUUAACCCCAGAAAGGCCGUGGAAACUGCACCACUAGAGGGCAGUAGGGGUAGAGGGAAUUCCCGGUGUAGCGGUGAAAUGCGUAGAGAUCGGGAAGAACACCAGUGGCGAAAGCGCUCUACUGGACUGCAACUGACACUCAGGGACGAAAGCUAGGGGAGCGAAUGGGAUUAGAUACCCCAGUAGUCCUAGCCGUAAACGAUGGAUACUAGGUGUUGUCUGUAUCGACCCAGACAGUGCCGUAGCUAACGCGAUAAGUAUCCCGCCUGGGGAGUACGCACGCAAGUGUGAAACUCAAAGGAAUUGACGGGGGCCCGCACAAGCGGUGGAGUAUGUGGUUUAAUUCGAUGCAACGCGAAAAACCUUACCAGGGCUUGACAUGUCGCGAACCCCGCUGAAAGGUGGGGGUGCCUUCGGGAGCGCGAACACAGGUGGUGCAUGGCUGUCGUCAGCUCGUGUCGUGAGAUGUUGGGUUAAGUCCCGCAACGAGCGCAACCCUCGUUCUUAGUUGCCAUCAUUUAGUUGGGCACUCUAGGGAGACUGCCGGUGAUAAACCGGAGGAAGGUGGGGAUGACGUCAAGUCCUCAUCCCCCUUACGUCCUGGGCUACACACGUACUACAAUGGGUGGGACAAAGGGCAGCGAACUCGCAAGAGCCGGCUAAUCCCAUAAACCUACCCCCAGUUCAGAUUGCUCUCUGCAACUCGAGAGCAUGAAGGAGGAAUCGCUAGUAAUCGCAGGUCAGCAUACUGCGGUGAAUACGUUCCCGGGCCUUGUACACACCGCCCGUCACACCAUGGAAGUUGGCCAUGCCCGAAGUCAUUACUCUAACCCCUCGGGGAGGAGGAUGCCGAAGGCAGGGCUGAUGACUGGGGUGAAGUCGUAACAAGGUA